UCACAAUGGAAGGGAUACGUUAGAAUACCACAAAAUAGAAAAAAUAGCUGCAAUUGUAAUGAUUAUUUUAAUUUUUCAUUUAAUUUUAAUUUUUAAAAUUGUAUUUAUCUGAUCACUCGUUUUUGUCGACAAAAUUACAUUGUUUACUUUUUUUUACAAUUCAGUCUACAACUAUAAAAAUCUAAUAUUUUAGAUUUUACAGAGCAAUGAAACAUAACAUUUGAAAAACUGGAAUUAACAAAAGUGACUAGCAUUGGAGCAGAGUAGAAGUAGACAGCAGCACGUUUUGUCUGACGGUAGUGAAUGUAACUUUCCAUCCCCCGCCUCCUUCUCCUCUUAGCGGUCCAUCGGCGCAGGCUCACGACAAAGUCCCCUCCGGAUCCAAGACCAGCUCCUGCUCAGCCUCCACACCGGCCCCAGCUCCUGCCGCUUCCUCGGCCGCGACCCCGACACCGCUCCCUGCUCCCGCACCGGCCACGGCGACCUCGGCCCGGGCCACGUCUCUGACCCCUGCGUCCACGGCUCCGGCUGCACCGACGCCCUCGGCUCCGGCCCCGACGGCCAGCUCCUUCCCCCCAUCCCCGAACUGCCGCAUCCGAGAGGUGCACUGUGGCAGCCAGGUGAGGUUGGUCGUAAUCGCCAUCCGGGACAUCACCAAGGGGGAGGAGAUCACCGUGGACUACAGCCUGACAGAGUGGGGAGACAACUUGGGUUUCCGUGGUACCGUGUCCCCAGCACAACACGAGUGUAACUCCGACACAGAGAAUAACAACAAUGUCAAAAAGGUAAGAGAAAGAACACCACCUUUUCCCUGAAGCUGCCUUCAGGUGACAAGACGUUUUCUCUCCUACUCAAAGCGCAGCGCAGGAAUACACCAUCAGGAAGUGGUGACAUCACAUACAACUACUCUCUCAUUGGUUGCAAUGACGUCAAGGCUAGUUGGUCGUCACCGCUCUCCCCAUAGAAAAAACAUGGCACAGUGGCUUAAAAGCACAGUUCGACCGAAAAAAGUCAAGUUUUAUUAUUUUAAGAAGUGACAACUUGGUAAUUGUCAGAUCUAAGCUACCCACUGUGCACCGCCUGCUCUCUAAAUGGCAGACAGACACAGCUAGCGACUAGCUGGUGAACAUAGUGGAGCCUUUAGCAGCUGAAGAGUCGGCAGAAACCAAAAGCAGAGCCGAAGGAGAGUGAAUAUGACUCCAAAUAAAUGAUAUUGUUGCUAGCUGCUGGAUGUUUAAACAGGCAACUGUUUGCCAACUAGUUCACAAUAUCAACUUAAAAUAAGAUAAUCCUGUAGUGUCGUCGUUGUUGUUGUUUAUGCUGCCCCCAAGUGGCCAUAAUAUGCAUUAAUUUCAGUUUAAAGACAAUUUUACUCCGAAUUCAUCUUUUGACUUCUUUGGAAACAUGGACCUCAUGGAAAAACAUUUGGAUUCCCAUCUUAACUUUCUUCUACUUGCAUGAGUGUGCCAUGUCACAUUCAGCAAACGCUUCAGAUAACUAUGUAAAUGACCAGCAUAAACAUGACCAAUG